rnacentral:rRNA from 1 species
GCGGCAGGCUAACACAUGCAAGUCGAGCGGACAUCUUCGGAUGUUAGCGGCGGACGGGUGAGUAACGCGUGGGAACGUACCUUUUGCUUCGGAAUAGCCUCGGGAAACUGGGAGUAAUACCGGAUGUGCUCUUCGGAGGAAAGAUUUAUCGGCAAAAGAUCGGCCCGCGUUGGAUUAGGUAGUUGGUGGGGUAAUGGCCUACCAAGCCUACGAUCCAUAGCUGGUUUGAGAGGAUGAUCAGCCACACUGGGACUGAGACACGGCCCAGACUCCUACGGGAGGCAGCAGUGGGGAAUCUUAGACAAUGGGGGAAACCCUGAUCUAGCCAUGCCGCGUGAGCGAUGAAGGCCUUAGGGUUGUAAAGCUCUUUCAGUGGGGAAGAUAAUGACGGUACCCACAGAAGAAGCCCCGGCUAACUCCGUGCCAGCAGCCGCGGUAAUACGGAGGGGGCUAGCGUUGUUCGGAAUUACUGGGCGUGAAGCGCACGUAGGCGGACAGAGAAGUCAGAGGUGAAAUCCCAGGNCUCAGCCUUGGAACUGCCUUUGAAACUUUUUGUCUUGAGGUCGAGAGAGGUGAGUGGAAUUCCGAGUGUAGAGGUG